AACGAACGCUGGCGGCAGGCUUAACACAUGCAAGUCGAGCGCGUAGCAAUACGAGCGGCAGACGGGUGAGUAACACGUGGGAAUCUACCCAUCCCUGCGGAACAACUCCGGGAAACUGGAGCUAAUACCGCAUACGCCCUACGGGGGAAAGAUUUAUCGGGGAUGGAUGAGCCCGCGUUGGAUUAGCUAGUUGGUGGGGUAAAGGCCUACCAAGGCGACGAUCCAUAGCUGGUCUGAGAGGAUGAUCAGCCACGUUGGGACUGAGACACGGCCCAAACUCCUACGGGAGGCAGCAGUGGGGAAUAUUGGACAAUGAGCGAAAGCCUGAUCCAGCCAUGCCGCGUGAGUGAUGAAGGCCUUAGGGUUGUAAAGCUCCUUCACCGAUGAAGAUAAUGACGGUAGUCGGAGAAGAAGCCCCGGCUAACUUCGUGCCAGCAGCCGCCGUAACAC
rnacentral:rRNA from 1 species